rnacentral:snRNA from 1 species
AUCCCUUCUUGGCCUUUUGCCUAAGAUCAAGUGUAGGAUCCAUU